AUUCCAGCUCCAAUAGCGUAUAUUAAAGUUGUUGCGGUUAAAAAGCUCGUAGUUGGAGUUCUGCCAGGUGACGCUCGUCCGCCCAAGUGGUGUGUACAGGGCGUGCAUCUGGCCCUUUCAAGGGGAACGUGUCUGCUCUUUAUUGAGUGGUGCGAGAUCCUUGACUUUUACUUUGAGGAAAUCAGAGUGUUCCAAGCAGGCUCUCGUCGUGUAUAGCUCAGCAUGGAAUAAUAGCAUUGGACUUCGUUUCUACGCUGUUGGUUUGAGGGACUGCAGUAAUGAUUAAUAGGGAUAGUUGGGGGCAUUAGUAUUUAAUUGUCAGAGGUGGAAUUCUCGGAUUUGUUAAAGACUAACUUAUGCGAAAGCAUUCGCCAAGGAUGUUUUCAUUA
rnacentral:rRNA from 1 species